rnacentral:rRNA from 1 species
GACGAACGCUGGCGGCGUGCCUAAUACAUGCAAGUAGAACGCACAGUUUAUACCGUAGCUUGCUACACCAUAGACUGUGAGUUGCGAACGGGUGAGUAACGCGUAGGUAACCUGCCUGGUAGCGGGGGAUAACUAUUGGAAACGAUAGCUAAUACCGCAUAAUAUUAAUUAUUGCAUGAUAAUUAAUUGAAAGGUGCAAUUGCACCACUACCAGCUGGACCUGCGUUGUAUUAGCUAGUAGGUGAGGUAACGGCUCACCUAGGCGACGAUACAUAGCCGACCUGAGGGGGGGGUCGGCCACACUGGGACUGAGACAAGGCCCAGAAUCCUACGGGAGGCAGCAGUAGGGAAUCUUCGGCAAUGGACGAAAGUCUGACCGAGCCACGCCGCGGGAGGGAAGAAGGGUUUCGGAUCGUAAAGAUCUGUUGUAAGAGAAGAACGGGUGUGAGAGUGGAAAGUUCACACUGUGACGGUAUCUGACCAGAAAGGGACGGCUAACUACGUG